UACACUCCUACGGGAGGCAGCAGUGGGGAAUUUUGGACAAUGGGCGAAAGCCUGAUCCAGCCAUGCCGCGUGCAGGAUGAAGGCCUUCGGGUUGUAAACUGCUUUUGUACGGAACGAAACGGCCUUUUCUAAUAAAGAGGGCUAAUGACGGUACCGUAAGAAUAAGCACCGGCUAACUACGUGCCAGCAGCCGCGGUAAUACGUAGGGUGCAAGCGUUAAUCGGAAUUACUGGGCGUAAAGCGUGCGCAGGCGGUUAUGUAAGACAGUUGUGAAAUCCCCGGGCUCAACCUGGGAACUGCAUCUGUGACUGCAUAGCUAGAGUACGGUAGAGGGGGAUGGAAUUCCGCGUGUAGCAGUGAAAUGCGUAGAUAUGCGGAGGAACACCGAUGGCGAAGGCAAUCCCCUGGACCUGUACUGACGCUCAUGCACGAAAGCGUGGGGAGCAAACAGGAUUAGAUACCCCUGUAGUCCCAU
rnacentral:rRNA from 1 species